ACCAUGACCGAUAGCCGCACUCAACACUAACAAGGUAGAGGGAUAGAAACACACUCUAAAUAUCCUUCUGCACAUGCCUGAGACAUCUGAGUUGAUCGAUUUUACAAAGGCAGGGCAAAGAUGAGUUGUUCUGAUGUUCAGUGAUAGAAAGAGGGAGCACAGCAUUUUAGAUGAAAGAUGCAAGGGCGUCAUCCCCAGUGAGGCCUUGGCAAGCAGCAGCUACUACGUGUUCAGAUGCUUCAUGAGCAAGGAAUGUUGAUUCCCCCUAGGGCUCUGGAACACAGCAUAAAAGCCUGCUCUACUCCAGGCUCUGCAUCUUCCUCUCUUGCUUCCCUUUCCUCUAAGAACAAGCUUUGCCUCGCUCACCGAGAGAUGUCUUGCUUCAGACCAUGUCCCCCACGCCCCUGUGGCACCUGUGGCCCAACGCCACUUGCAAGCAGCUGCAGUGAGCCCUGUGUCGCCCGCUGUGCUGACUCGACCAUUGCCAUCGAGGCUUCCCCGGUGUUGGUGACCCUGCCGGGCCCCAUCCUCACCUCUUUCCCGCAGAGCACAGCCGUGGGAUCCUCUCUGUCAGCUGCGGUUGGGAGCGCCCUCAGCACUGGUGGGGUUCCCAUCUCUUCUGGGGGCUCCCUUGGUCUGGGGGGGUCAGGCCUGUGUCUGCCUCCCCCUCGCUGCAGUUUCAACUGCUGAAGCUGGCAGAUCAUCCACAUUGGAGCCAGAAGGAAGAUGUGCACCCUGUAUGAGCAGGAACAUGGCCACGGUUUCCAGAUGAGCUGGGUGUCCUCUUCCCACCUGCCAAUAUGGUGCUGUGCCUCCUGCUUUUCACUGCAGGGCAGGCCUUGCUCUACCUUCUCUGGCUCUGCUUAGCCCUGAGCCCCUGAGAGAAAGGGCUCCUUCUCUUCAGCUUUACUGAACCUCCUACUGAUGUGGGGGGAGUUGCAGAAUCAGGGACUGCUCUUGGUGGCCUGGGAAUACCACCAGGUGGAGCAGAAUGGGAAAAGUGAACCGCUUUGUGUCCAACUUGUCCUUUGGAAACUGGUGGUUCUCUGUGCCUCCCUGAACCCUGCAGACAUCUUUCUUGGUCUCUGUUCUGUGCCCCUGCAUUUGCUCCUUCUGAUUAAAGACUGUGUGCAGCAUA